UUAAAACAAUAACAGACCUGAAAUAUUUCAGUUGGUGUGCAAUGAAUCUAAAAUAUAUGAAAGUUUAAUUUUUAUCAUUACAUUAUGGAAAAUAAUGAACUUUUUCACAAUAUGCUAAUUUUUUGAGAAGGACCUGUAUAUGCAUCUAGUUUUGUUUCCUUUCGUUACUUCUUUCACCAUACAAACUGUGGCAUAAGUCCUAAAACAUUUUGUUAUCAGAAGCAUUCCAAAAACAUUUAAAUGUUAACCCUGCAAGAAAAGAAUGUUAGUGAAAUAUGAUUACUUCAAAUUUACUUCGUAGUAUUUGCGGUGGAACUUAAUUAAAUAUAACCAGCAUUUAUAAGAAUUAUCUUGUAGCAAAAAACUUUCUGUAAAUACAUAAGCUAUGGGUUCAAGAAGCCUGCAAUAAUCAAAUGUUUCCCCCUUGUUUAGGGUGCACGUAAUCUUAACCCAGUCCCAUAUCAUGCCGAAUAUAUGGGCCACAAACUACACCUUGAUCAAAAUGAGAAGCUUGUGAUGUUCGGUGUAACGCACAUUUUGGCAGUUGAUGGCUACAGGAGCAAAAUUAUUGCCAAUGCUACAAUGCCGGUGAAAAACAACCUCGUAAUUUAUGAAGAAGUUUACAGACCUGCUGUAGUUAACUAUGGCAUGUGGGACCAGCUCAGGGUUGACCGUGGUAGGGAAUUUUACAUGUCCCUAUACAUGCAAGAGAAGCUGUCAAGACACAGACACAACCUCAGCAGACAACCAUACCUCCAAACAGCUUUAACAAUGAAUCUUAGAAAGGAUUUGGCCUGAAGUGAACAAUUGGGUGAACUACCCAUUGAAACAGGCCCUGGUGCACCUGC
rnacentral:lncRNA from 1 species